rnacentral:rRNA from 1 species
CCAGCUGAUCCUGCUGGCGGAUACUGCUCUCGAAAUUCGACUAAGCCAUGCAAGUCUUGGAGUCUAACUAUGGAGAUUCCGGCGUACGGCUCAGUAACACGUAGUCAACCUACCCUAAAGAGGGGUUAAACCCGGGAAACUGGGCAUAAUGCCCCAUAGGUGGGAGAUGCUGGAAGGCACUCCCGCUUAAACGAAGUGCACCAUGUAAGUACUUUGCUUUAGGAUGGGACUGCGGCGGAUUAGGCUGUUGGCGGGGUAACUGCCCACCAAACCUACGAUCCGUACGGGCCUUGAGAGAGGGAGCCCGGAGAAGGACACUGAGGAAAGGGUCCUAGCCCUACGGGGUGCAGCAGGCGCGAAACUUCUGCAAUGCACGAAAGUGUGACAGAGGGAUUUCGAGUGCAAGUUCUACUUGCUUUUGCCAGCUUUAAAACGGCUGGCGAAUAAGGGGUGGGUAAGAUGCGUGCCAGCCGCCGCGGUAAUACGUACACCCCAAGUGGUAUCCCCUAAUAUUGGGCCUAAAACGUUCGUAGCCGGUUCUGUAAGUCCUUAGUGAAAUCAACGGGCUUAACUCGUUGAAUUGCCAAGGAUACUGCAGAGCUCGAGGUCGGAAGAGGUAAAGGGAAUUUCCGGGGUAGGAGUGAAAUCUUGUGAUCCCGGAAGGACCUCCAGUAGCGAAGGCGCUUUACCAGUACGAGCCUGACGGUGAGGAACGAAAGCUGAGGGAGCGACCCGGAUUAGAUACCCGGUUAGUCUCAGCCGUAAACGAUGUGGACUAGGUGUCCUAGCACUCACGAAGUGUGGGGGUGCCGAAGCGAAGGCGUUAAGUCCACUGCCUGGGAAGUAUUACCGCAAGGUUGAAACUUAAUGGAAUUGGCGGGGGCGCACUACAAGGGGUGGAUGCUGCGGUUUAAUUGGAUUCAACCCCAGACAACUUACCAGGGGCGACAGUUGUAUGAUGGUCAGCCUGAAGGGCUUACCUGACUCUCUGAGAGGUGUUGUAUGGUCAUCGUCAGCUCGUACUAUGAAGCGUCCUGUCAACUCAGGCAACGGGCGAGACCCACAUCAUUAGUUGCUACUUCCCGGUUUCGGGGGGGCACUCUAGUGAGACUGCGAUCGUAAGAUCGAGGAAGGAGUAGGCAACGGUAGAUCUGUAUGGCCCGAAUCUCCUGGGCAACACGCGGCAUACAAUGGUUGGAGCAAUGGGUUCCUAACCCGAAAGGGCACGGUAAUCCCCUAAACCCAACCUCAGUUCAGAUCGAGGGCUGCAACUCGCCCUCGUGAAGUUGGAAUCCCCAGUAAUCGCGUGUCACUAACGCGCGGUGAAUAUGUCCCUGCGCCUUGCACACACCGCCCAUCAAGCCAGCUGAGUGGAGUCUGGAUGAGCCCAACUCCUUCGGGGUUGGUCAAUUCCGGGUUUUGCAAGGCGGGCUAAGUUGUAACAAGGUG